rnacentral:lncRNA from 1 species
AUGGCUCAGCAUAAUCACCUGAGCAGGGAAACCAGCUGCUGCCACAGCUGGGUCAUUUUUGCUGUCACCAGCAACGUUGCCACUGUGAACAUCUUUGACAGACACGUUCUUGACAUUGAAGCCCACAAUGUCACCAGGAAGAGCUUCACUCAAAGCCUCAUGGUGCAUUUCAACAGACUUUACUUCAGUUGUGACAUUGACUGGUGUGAAGGUGACCACCACGCCAGGUUUGAGGACACCAGUCUCCACUCGGCCCACAGGGAAGGUGAUCAGAGCAGACUCCUCAGAUUCCACACUCGCAGAGCAAAGGAUAAAUAUGGAGGCAAAGUUGCCGAUGAGACUAUGAGGAACUAGCCUGCAAGCUCAAACUUGACCAAGGGGUGAUGAAGAUGAGAAAUAAAGAGAUACAGAAACAAGUUAAAAUCUGGGGGGCCAGGGGCACUCUGUGUCCCUUGACAUAGAGCCCCAAAUGACUGGCGCACCCUGGCUUUAUUCACUCAGGCAUGGGCACAAGCCAUCAGAGUUUCACAGGAUUCAUCUGUCUCCCUCCUUCCACCGUAAUUCUCUGGAGAAAAAACUUAACCUCAGGUGUUUUUACUUUUCCCUGCAGCAUGUUGGCACACUUGCAUGCUCUCUUCUCAUUGUUCACCGAGGAGGCCAAUUGGGCCUCAUUCUUCCCAUCUGGUCUGCCAUAUCUCACUAGCAAUGAAUAAAAUUCAUGUUGCUCUACAUCCUCACAAGCAUUUUGAAUGACUGGUGAAUGAUCUUUUCUUCAAAAGGAAAAAAUAAAUACAUAAAGAGAUAUAAGAGAUAUAAAUAAAGAAACUACAUUGUUGCAUCACUGAUUGCAAGGAUUUAAGUCAGGACCCCAAAUUACAGGUGUGUCUGAGAUAGACCUGCGGUAGCACCCACCUCCAGUCCAUCUCCCAAGUGACCAGUAGCAGACACAGUUAUGGUUUAAAUAUGGGGGUACCUCCCAAGGACUCUUGUGUUGAAGGUGUGAACCCACUGGAGAAAAACUGAGAGGUACAGCCUAGAGAGAGUAUUGGGUCACAGGACACCAAACUCAUCAGUUGAUGCACCCUUUUAUGAGAUCAUAAUGAAAUGGCCUAUGAGGAGAUUGGACCCAGUGGGAGAAAGUGGGUCCCCAGUGAGGCAGGAGAUUAGGGUAUGGCCAACUGGCUGGGAAAGUGGGUGUGAUCUGUCAAUCACAGAGCUCCAGGACACAUGUGCAGAAAGAAUCUUCAAUUCUCUUCAUGAGAACUCAAGCUGGGUAUUGACAGGAUGGCCUAGACCUGACAUCAGCAAUUAGGAAGUAGGGAGAAGUUCAAAUAACUCCCAAAUUAUCUAUUCCACUGUUUCAAAAUAUUUUAGCACACACUACUAGAUUCUCUUAGUUAAUUGAAAAGAAAAUUUUGUGCUAUACCUUUCUUCUCCUUUUUUCUUUUCUUGAGAUAACUUCUUGCUAUGUAGUUCAGGCUGGCCUAGAAUUCAUAACGUACCCCAGGCUGGCCUCAAACUGGUGGUAAUCCUCCUGCCUCUGUAUCCUGGGUGCUAGGAUAACAGGCAUAUGCCACCAGGCCUGCUUCAAAUUUUGUGUUAUUAUCUGUUUGUUCCUUCUUUAUAGGAGAGAGUCUUUUUUGUCUGUGACUUGUACUCUGAGUAAUCUUUUGGCUAUUAAGAUUAUGAUGGACAGUAUAAUAAAUAUGAUUAUUUUCUAAUUAUCUUGCUAUGAAAUUUUGUUUUGCUUUUUAAUGAAAAGAUUUUUAAAAAGAAAUUGUCUUUAUUAUAUCAUUAGACUUAAUUGACAAUGGGCCCCACAUAGAUUGAUGUUCAUCCAGAAUUCUGGGUUACAAAUCUUCAACAGUUGUACUGUGGAUGUCUUGCUUUCAACUGCCAAAGAAGAUCUCAUUGUACUUCCUACAAGAAAAACUCUUAAAAAAAAAAAAAAAAAGAAAGAAAAACUCU